rnacentral:misc_RNA from 1 species
AUAAUUUUGGGUGACAAGGGAGACAGUAUCAAAGCAUCAUAUGUACAUCACCUGGAUCAGUCAAAGAAGAGUGCUGCUGUGGCAGAGAUUUCUAGAAGGUUUUCCACAAAUGAGAACACUUUCACAGUUGGAGGCUUAUAUUCUGUCGAUCACCUGACAGUGGUGAAAGCAAAGCUCAACAACUAUGGGAAACUUGGGGCACUGCUGCAGCAUGAGGUCAUUCCAAAGUCAUUGCUGACAAUUUCUGGUGAGUUUGAUACCAAGGCCUUGGACAAAAAUGCGAAGUUUGGGUUGGCCAUUGCUGUCAAGCCUUGAUGGAUGUCUGCCACAUAUUAAACCAUUGUUUGAAUUAACACUCAAAUGAUUUUUUCCCCCUGGCUGGCACUUGAAAGGGAGUGUCAAUAAGUAGUUCC